GCCUCAAGCGACCCUCCCACCUCUGCCUCCCAAAAGUGCUAGGAUCACAGGCGUGAGCCACCACACCCAACCCACUUCUACUCCUUAUAGGAAUCCCUUACAUAUUCUGGAUAUAAGCCCUUUAUUGGAGAUAUGUCCUUCUCUUAAUGUGUGCCUUUCCUGUUUACUCUCUGCGUACCCCUUCUACUUGUAAGAAGAAGUUAGUUAUAAAACAGCCUCAGGCAGGUCCUUCAGGAGGUAUUCCUGAAGAAAGAAAGCAUUCUUAGGAGGUGACAGCUCCAUGCAUGUUAAUGCCUCUGAAGAUCUUCCAGCUGGACAGGAGAUGGAGGUGGAAGACACUACUAUCGUGAGCCUGACCCUGUGUAGGCUUAAGCUAAUGUGUGUGUUUGUUUCUUAGCUUUUA